GAAACUGCGAAUGGCUCAUUAAAUCAGUUAUCGUUUAUUUGAUAGUACCUUACCACUUGGAUAACCGUGGUAAUUCUAGAGCUAAUACAUGCUAAAAACCCCGACUUCGGAAGGGGUGUGUUUAUUAGAUAAAAAACCAAUGCCCUUCGGGGCUCUUUGGUGAUUCAUGAUAACCUAACGGAUCGCAUGGCCUUGCGCCGGCGACGGUUCAUUCAAAUUUCUGCCCUAUCAACUUUCGAUGGUAAGGUAUUGGCUUACCAUGGUUUCAACGGGUAACGGGGAAUUAGGGUUCGAUUCCGGAGAGGGAGCCUGAGAAACGGCUACCACAUCCAAGGAAGGCAGCAGGCGCGCAAAUUACCCAAUCCCGACACGGGGAGGUAGUGACAAUAAAUACUGAUACAGGGCUCUUUUGGGUCUUGUAAUUGGAAUGAGUACAAUUUAAACCCCUUAACGAGGAACAAUUGGAGGGCAAGUCUGGUGCCAGCAGCCGCGGUAAUUCCAGCUCCAAUAGCGUAUAUUAAAGUUGUUGCAGUUAAAAAGCUCGUAGUUGAAACUUGGGUCUGGCUAGCGGGUCCGCCUCACCGCGUGCACUUGUCCGGCUGGACCUUUCCUUCUGGAGAACCUCAUGCCCUUCACUGGGUGUGUUGGGGAACCAGGACUUUUACUUUGAAAAAAUUAGAGUGUUCAAAGCAGGCCUUUGCUCGAAUACGUUAGCAUGGAAUAAUAGAAUAGGACGUGCGGUCCUAUUUUGUUGGUUUCUAGGAUCGCCGUAAUGAUUAAUAGGGAUAGUCGGGGGCAUCAGUAUUCAAUUGUCAGAGGUGAAAUUCUUGGAUUUAUUGAAGACUAACUACUGC
rnacentral:rRNA from 1 species